rnacentral:rRNA from 1 species
UACAGAGGUCUCGAGCGUUAGGCGGAAUCACUGGGCUUAAAGCGUGUGUAGGCGGAUCGUUAAGUACCUUGUGAAAUCCCACGGCUUAACCGUGGAACUGCUUGGUAUACUGGCGGUCUUGAGCCAGCUAGGGGCUACCGGAACAAGUGGUGGAGCGGUGAAAUGCGUAGAUAUCAUUUGGAACGCCAAUGGUGAAAACAGGUAGCUGGGGCUGUGCUGACGCUGAGACACGAAAGCCAGGGGAGCAAACGGG